GACGAACGCUGGCGGCGUGCCUAAUACAUGCAAGUAGAACGCACAGUUUAUACCGUAGCUUGCUACACCAUAAACUGUGAGUUGCGAACGGGUGAGUAACGCGUAGGUAACCUGCCUGGUAGCGGGGGAUAACUAUUGGAAACGAUAGCUAAUACCGCAUAAUAUUAAUUAUUGCAUGAUAAUUGAUUGAAAGAUGCAAUUGCAUCACUACCAGAUGGACCUGCGUUGUAUUAGCUAGUAGGUGAGGUAACGGCUCACCUAGGCGACGAUACAUAGCCGACCUGAGAGGGUGAUCGGCCACACUGGGACUGAGACACGGCCCAGACUCCUACGGGAGGCAGCAGUAGGGAAUCUUCGGCAAUAGACGAAAGUCUGACCGAGCAACGCCGCGUGAGUGAAGAAGGUUUUCGGAUCGUAAAGCUCUGUUGUAAGAGAAGAACGGGUGUGAGUGUGGAAAGUUCACACUGUGACGGUAUCUUACCAGAAAGGGACGGCUAACUACGUG
rnacentral:rRNA from 1 species